GAUGAACGCUGGCGGCGUGCCUAAUACAUGCAAGUCGAGCGAACAGAUAAGGAGCUUGCUCCUUUGACGUUAGCGGCGGACGGGUGAGUAACACGUGGGUAACCUACCUAUAAGACUGGAAUAACUCCGGGAAACCGGGGCUAAUGCCGGAUAACAUUUAGAACCGCAUGGUUCUAAAGUGAAAGAUGGUUUUGCUAUCACUUAUAGAUGGACCCGCGCCGUAUUAGCUAGUUGGUAAGGUAACGGCUUACCAAGGCAACGAUACGUAGCCGACCUGAGAGGGUGGUCGGCCACACUGGAACUGAGACACGGUCCAGACUCCUACGGGAGGCAGCAGUAGGGAAUCUUCCGCAAUGGGCGAAGGCCUGACGGAGCAACGCCGCGUGAGUGAUGAAGGUCUUCGGAUCGUAAAACUCUGUUAUUAGGGAAGAACAAAUGUGUAAGUAACUGUGCACGUCUUGACGGUACCUAAUCAGAAAGCCACGGCUAACUACGUG
rnacentral:rRNA from 1 species